rnacentral:rRNA from 1 species
GGUUAAGCGACUAAGCGUACACGGUGGAUGCCCUGGCAGUCAGAGGCGAUGAAGGGCGUGCUAAUCUGCGAUAAGCGCCGGUAAGGUGAUAUGAACCGUUAUAACCGGCGAUACCCGAAUGGGGAAACCCAGUGUGAYUCGUCACACUAUCAUUAACUGAAUCCAUAGGUUAAUGAGGCGAACCGGGGGAACUGAAACAUCUAAGUACCCCGAGGAAAAGAAAUCAACCGAGAUUCCCCCAGUAGCGGCGAGCGAACGGGGAGGAGCCCAGAGCCUGAAUCAGCAUGUGUGUUAGUGGAAGCGUCUGGAAAGGCGCGCGAUACAGGGUGACAGCCCCGUACACAAAAGCGCAUGUGCUGUGAGCUCGAUGAGUAGGGCGGGACACGUGGUAUCCUGUCUGAAUAUGGGGGGACCAUCCUCCAAGGCUAAAUACUCCUGACUGACCGAUAGUGAACCAGUACCGUGAGGGAAAGGCGAAAAGAACCCCGGCGAGGGGAGUGAAAAAGAACCUGAAACCGUGUACGUACAAGCAGUGGGAGCAC